rnacentral:rRNA from 1 species
AAUGAACGUUGGCGGCAUGGAUUAGGCAUGCAAGUCGAGCGAGAAGUGUAGCAAUACACGGAAAGCGGCGGAAGGGAGAGUAAUACGUGGAAAUCUGCCCUUAGACCUGGGAUAGCAGCGGGAAACUGCUGGUAAUACCAGAUAAUGUCUAUGGACCAAAGGUGUGAUUCCGUCUAGGGAUGAGCCCACGUCCUAUUAGCUAGUUGGUAGGGUAAUGGCCUACCAAGGCGAUGAUGGGUAGCGGGUGUGAGAGCAUGACCCGCCUCACUGGGACUGAGAACUGCCCAGACACCUACGGGUGGCUGCAGUCGAGAAUCUUCGGCAAUGAGCGCAAGCUUGACCGAGCGACGCCGCGUGCGGGAUGAAGGCCUUCGGGUUGUAAACCGCUGUCGUAGGGGAGCAAGAGAUGAGGGUACUCCCUCUGAUUUGAGCGAUCCUAGGAGGAAGGACGGGCUAAGUUCGUGCCAGCAGCCGCUGUAAAAC